rnacentral:lncRNA from 1 species
CUCUGUCGAUAUUGCCAACCAAAUCCAACUCAAAUUAAGUCAAAAUCUUAUCAAAUGCUCAUUGACAAUGCUAUAACAUAAACGUGGGUGGUCAACACUGUUAAUCUCUUACCUUAUUUUAUUCUAUUCCCAUAACAACAGUAAUUGUUCAAUCAACACAACAGUUUUGAGAAGAAAAAUGUCCCAAGUCAACUUAAGUUUGCUUGUUCCUACAUAUCCUUAUAGCUACAAGUAGAAAGAUGAAAAUUGAUUCUAGACAAGAAGAACGGUUUUGGAUAAGGAACAUUAUGGAGAUUUGUUCUUUUUUGAAUCCAAGUGUGAGUGGCAAAAUAAACAGUCC